CAGUAGCCACGGUAAUACGUAGGUGGCAAGCGUUGUCCGGAAUUAUUGGGCGUAAAGGGCUCGCAGGCGGCUUCUUAAGUCUGAUGUGAAAGCCCCCGGCUCAACCGGGGAGGGUCAUUGGAAACUGGGAAACUUGAGUGCAGAAGAGGAGAGUGGAAUUCCACGUGUAGCGGUGAAAUGCGUAGAGAUGUGGAGGAACACCAGUGGCGAAAGCGGCUCACUGGACAUUAACUGACGCUGGUGCACGAAAGCUAGGGGAGCAAACAGGAUUAGAUACCCCUGUAGUCCCUGUCUCUUAUAC
rnacentral:rRNA from 1 species